rnacentral:rRNA from 1 species
UACGUAGGGGGCAAGCGUUUGUCCGGAAUCAUGGGGCGUAAAGAGCGCGCAGGCGGUCGAUCAAGUCGAGUGUGAAAGCCCCCGGCUCAACUGGGGAGGGUCAUUCGAUACUGAUCGACUCGAAGGCAGGAGAGGGUAGUGGAAUUCCCGGUGUAGUGGUGAAAUGCGUAGAUAUCGGGAGGAACACCAGUGGCGAAGGCGACUACCUGGCCUGUUCUUGACGCUGAGGCGCGAAAGCUAGGGGAGCAACGGG